CUUCUGUUCGUUUGUUUCUCACUUACCCAAUAUUCUGGAAUUCUGUCCAAGAACUUCAGCUUCUUUUGACUUUGCUAUCAACUUCACCCUUUAAAAAAGCUUGGGCAAAACAGGACAAAUUUCACCCCUUCUUUUGUAUUGGGAACGCCCUCUUGACCCCAUUGAAUAAUCCAGACUCGCCGAUGUCGCCAAGAACCCGCGAAGGAAAAGUGCAAGCAUGAUUGAUGUGGGGGCUCGCUGGCCGCGGGAGGCUAGCCAGCGUCACAUGACUCGGCGGGGAGAUAUCAGGACGCAUCGCCAUGUUGCAGGAAGCUGAAGGCACGGUGCAGCCCGGUCCACGAUUUGUUGUCGCGGGUGGUCUGCUCGGCAAUAGCAGACUCGGCAGUGCUCUUGGCUUUGAAGUGUUGCUGAGCGUCAAUCAAGGGAUGCAAGGAGCGCGGCACGGAGGGCACUCGAGUUUCUACUGUGAUGAAGAGUAGCAACAAGUAUGGGUCAUAGCCGUUGGUGGUAUCUCGGCAACAGGGAGUGAGUCGCGACCGUCGAUGGUAGUGAGUUGAGCCAAAGUGUCAAGCACCGUUUUUAUGAAUGUGCCAGAACGCGGGUCUUCUCUUUUUGCCUUUUCUUUUAGUGUCACAUUGGUACUUCAAUAAUGCGGGGUACCGGCCGCUUGUUAUUAAUUAUUCUGGAAUGAAUUUAGUAUUCAUAUUUUAAAUUGAAUUUUGAUUGUUAUUUAAAACUCAAAAUGAUACCAUCAUUUAAAUUCUAUUUAACAUGUCACGCCCUGAUCCUCAAGCGCAUGCCCAUCCCUCGAUGGUUGAUAAAAUUUGCGACGUCACAGGAUGCGUCGCUGACCCAUUCAUUUUAAUGCAUAUGCGGCAGCGUAUAAACUAAUCCCCUAACCUCAACAAAUAUGUGAUAAAAAAGCAGGACAACAAAUUUCAAAUCAAUCAACCCAACUUUUAUAAACAAUCUGAUUUACAAACAGAGGCUAACUCUAGGGUUUAAGUAUAGGAGGUCUCUCUCCAAAAAGAAUUUUUGAGCCACACAUGCUCCUGACCCUUUCGCCUCAAACUCUGGGUUCUUUACACUAGAAACCUGAAAAGUUAAGCUAAUUGUCUUACCAAGUUCACCUCAUAAAUCCCAACUAGGAAGGAAAUACGUGUAAAGGCAGUCUAUGCACACACAAGACAGAUGACUUACCUUGCCUUAGUUCUUUCUGCAAGUCAGUACAACUCAUAUAUUCAACCAAUCAAUUCAAACCAAAUCAUCGAUCAGCUCAGUCAAUCGACUCAAUUCGACACAAUUGAUAUGAUCCAUACUAUCUAUCAAUUUGAUACGACCACUGCUUACACAAGUUGAAAUAUGUGGUCAUAACUCUCACAAGUUGAUAUAAAUAUAUAGUAAUUCGCACAAGCUGAUAUAUAGAUUGUGCUCCCACAAGUUGAUAAACGAUCAUAACUCACACAAGCUGAUAAGGUAUACUAUUCUCACAAGCUGACAUAUCAAACUCAUAAGCUCAUAUAGUAUACUGCUCUCACAAGCUGACGUGCAAUCACAAGAUGACGAUAAAUGCUCUCACAAACUAACGUGCAAUAUCUUUCUUUUAGAGAAUCUCACUAUUUGUAUAGUCCACAAAGAUAUUUUCGGUGUUAAAAACUGAUGCCCGGUAUUUUCUAAUUAAAAUACCGAAAUUCAACAAAUUUGGAAUAAACAACCAAAAUCACCAAUUUCACUCAAUUUACACAAAUUAAGACUCAAUUAAAUAAACCAAGCAUACCAUUACAAUCAGCACGAAAUUACGGUCACCGGCUAUCCCGGUAUAAUUUCCAAAAAAUAAUAAAUAAUUAAAUAAUUAUCAAAAUUAAUUAAAUAAAUACAAUUAAAUGGCAAAAAUAGAAACUUAGAUCGGAAAUGCCUAAUUAAAUAUGGAAAUGGGCCUGAAAAAUUUUCAAACUAAUCUAGAUAAAUAAUACGAUCUAUCUAGUUCCUAGUUAAGCCGUUUUAACCACGUAACAUGCAUAAACGAAUAUUUAAAUCGCUAAUCCGUUCUAACUAACCACCUAAAUCAUACUUAGGCUAAACUAAUCAACCCUUAAGUAUCAUUAACUCCCUAAGAAAAGUUUAGUAAGUAAACUCACCGAUUUAACAAUCUGGUGAGUCCACAGCGACUACGGCGCGGCGGCGGCCGAAACUUGAAUUUACAGCAGUGCCAAUGGGAGCUCGAGAGGGCCCAAAAACCUUGCUAGGCUCAUGGCCUAGUUGCUGUCUUCGGUCUUGGAUUGGGCUAAACAACUGGCUACGAUGCGGCUUGGAGGUGGCUGAACGGAGGGGAACGGGCUAGCUAUCUUGGACGGUGCUGUUGCGUGGAGGCAUAGGGCUGCUCAAUGGGUGGCUUGAAGAUGGAAAACUAGAGUUGGCGAUGGAGAUGAGUUGGCGUGAAAGUGGGUGCUGGCGUGAGGUUGGAGUUGCGUUGAGGUGGUGGAGGCAUGGUGUUUUGAUGGUGGGGCUGUUGGGAAUUCACGCUGUGUGAUGGAAGGGUUGAAAUCGUGGGCUGCGAUGGAACAAAAAAGAAGGAAGGGAAGCAGGCAGGUGGAGAUGGGUGGUUUGCUGGUGGGGUUGACUUCAGUGGAGGGUGAGACGUUGAAGCGAGAUGGAGACACGAGGAUGGAAGUUGAGCUGUUGGUGGGAUGGGCAACAAUGGAGCAGUAGAUUCAAUGGAGGACGCGCAGCAAAGUAAGUGGCAGUAAUUCGCUGGGGUUGAUGUUGGUGAGCUGGACGAGUGGCUGUGGAAGGAAGGCUUGAUGAAGGCACACGAAGAGAAGGGAGCAACAGAUUUGGAGGUGAGGGGCUGAGCUUCAACGGAACAGAAAUGGAAGAGAAGCAAAAACAGAAGGGGUCGGGGAAGCUGUGUACGAAAGGGAAGAGAGGGAACGGAUGAGGGAGAGAGAGGGAGAGAUAAGGAUGAGCCCUAAAAGUCAAAGGAGAAAAAGAAAUGGAAGAC
rnacentral:lncRNA from 1 species